CAGCAGCCACGGGAAUACGUAGGGUGCGAGCGUUAAUCGGAAUUACUGGGCGUAAAGCGUGCGCAGGCGGUUAUAUAAGACAGAUGUGAAAUCCCCGGGCUCAACCUGGGACCUGCAUUUGUGACUGUAUAGCCAGAGUACGGUAGAGGGGGAUGGAAUUCCGCGUGUAGCAGCGAAAUGCGUAGAUAUGCGGAGGAACACCGAUGGCGAAGGCAAUCCCCUGGACCUGUACUGACGCUCAUGCACGAAAGCGUGGGGAGCAAACAGGAUUAGAUACCCCUGUAGUCCCUGUCUCUUAUAC
rnacentral:rRNA from 1 species